rnacentral:rRNA from 1 species
CUCAAAUGGUGUGUGACU